UACGUAGGGGGCAAGCGUUGUCCGGAUUUAUUGGGCGUAAAGAGCGUGUAGGCGGCCAUACAGGUCCGUUGUGAAAACUCGAGGCUCAACCUCGAGACGUCGAUGGAAACCGUAUGGCUAGAGUCCGGAAGAGGAGAGUGGAAUUCCUGGUGUAGCGGUGAAAUGCGCAGAUAUCAGGAAGAAUAUCCGUGGCGAAGGCGGCUCUCUGGGACGGUACUGACGCUGAGACGCGAAAGCGUGGGGAGCGAACAGG
rnacentral:ncRNA from 2 species